GGCCCCGCCCACGUCAUGGCGCCUGAGGAGAACGCGGGUACCAAACUCUUGCUGCAGAGUUUCGAGCGCCGCUUCCUAGCGGCGCGCACACUGCGCUCCUUCCCCUGGCAGGUGGGCGGCGGGGCGAGCGGAGAGGCCUGCGGGGCUUGCGGAAGUCCAGGGGCAGACGGGAUGGGUCUCCCUGCUGAAACCCCCGGCGCUCCUGCCACGCAGUAAUCGUUCUGGUCACUGGGACACAGCUGCCCUCGCCCAUUCUAAAAAGUCAGCACCCUCAGGCCCGCGGGUAACCACCUCCUCCUGAGCACGGUGACCAGGUCAAAGGCUGUCCCUCGGGCCUCAGUGUUCUCAUCUGUAUGUCGAGCACUGCACAGAAUCAGCUCAUGCGCUGAGGCUUUCACUCCUGUGAUGGAAGAGACAGAGAAGGGGGUGGCCUCUCCUCUCCCUGGGGACCUGCCAUUCUCAGCACAGGCGCAUGGCAGGCAGCAGCCUCCCUUCUGCCAGCAGAGGGGCUUAAUGCACCCUGCUCCAUUUGUAAUUCAUGUGCGGUGAGCUCACUGGGAUGAGUCAGUUUGGAUAUAUAUUCCUCCCUGGGUCUGCCCCAUUUUAUGGGGUGUUGCUUAAUCAUUUGCGUUAUUCCAUUGACAUGAAAUAUUUAGCACUCAGAGAUCAUUUCUGGUCAGGAGAAAUUUGUGCAUUUUUAACCCAAAAUAGAAACCUUCAUAAAAGCAUCAUAGGUCUCCAUUCAGUAUUGACUAUAAUUGUUCACAUGCCCACGCUGAAUGCUAACUUGGGCUCACCAUCAACACCCACGAGGUGGGUACUAUUAUUAUCACUCACAUUUGACCAGAGGGAUUGUUUGAUUAGGGUGUAGUAGUUGAGAGUUCAGACCCAGGAGACAGCCUGCCUGCUUCAAAUCCUGGCCCAACCCCUGGCCCUGUGUGACCUUGGGCAAGUGACUGCAUCUCUCUGUGCUGUUGUUUUCUUAUUAAUAAAAUGGUUGAUAUAAUGAUA
rnacentral:lncRNA from 1 species